rnacentral:rRNA from 1 species
AAAAUGGUACUUGUCACCCUGUAGCUCAAGACCGGUUACUCACCGAAACUAAGCAGAGCUGAGCCCGGUUAGUACCUUAAUGGGAGACAACAUAGGGAAACUAGAUUGCUGUUGGA